GACGAACGCUGGCGGCGUGCCUAAUACAUGCAAGUAGAACGCACAGUUUAUACCGUAGCUUGCUACACCAUAGACUGUGAGUUGCGAACGGGUGAGUAACGCGUAGGUAACCUGCCUGGUAGCGGGGGAUAACUAUGGGAAACGAUAGCUAAUAGCGCAUAAUAUUAAUUAUUGCAUGUUAAUUAAUUGAAAGGUGCAAUUGCACCACUACCAGAUGGCCCUUCGUUGUAUUAGCUAGUAGGUGAGGUAACGGCUCACCUAGGCGACGAUACAUAGCCGACCUGCGAGGGUGGUCGGCCACCCUGGGACGGAGACACGGCCCAGAGGCCUACGGGAGGCAGCAGUAGGGAAUCUUCGGCAAUGGGCGAAAGUCUGACCGAGCAACGCCGAGUGCGGGAAGAAGGUUUUCGGAUCGUAAAGGUCUGUUGUAAGAGAAGAACGGGUGUGAGAGUGGAAAGUUCACACUGUGACGGUAACUUACCAGAAAGGGACGGCUAACUACGUG
rnacentral:rRNA from 1 species